CCGGACCAGUGCAGAAUAAUCCUCCUUGGAGGUGACUCCCAUCCUCCAUCCUUUGUAGGCCUUUCUUUUUAGCCUCAGGAGGUCUGCUAGGUCCCUGGAGAGCCAGGGGGGCUGCUGUGCCCUCUUGCUGCCUUUCCUCUGAGAUAGAAUAGAUUUAGUUUGUGCAUUGAGGAUUGCUUCCCUGAGGAGCAACCACUCUUCUUGAACUCCCCUCUCCCCGUGGUCAUGGUCCCUUAGGGCCUCACUGACAAGCCUCCUGAGCUUGUCAAAGUCGGCUUUCCUGAAGUCAAGGACUUGCGUGUUGCUGACUGACUUGCCAGCUUUACGGCGGAUGGUGAAGGUGAUCAGCUCGUGGUCGCUGUCACCCAGCUUCCCAUCAAUCACUAGGUCGCCGACUAGGUCAUCCCCAGUAGCCAGUACCAGGUUGAGCAGCACUUUGCCUCUCGUUGGCCCAUAGACUUCUUGAGUCAGGUAGAGGUCAUCCACGCACGAGAGGAAGCUUUGCAACCGCUCAGAUUUUGCUGAGUGAUCCUCCCACGAGAUGUCCGGGUAAUUCAAGUCACCCAUGACAACCAUGGUCCUGGAGCAUGCCGCCUCAGCCAGUUCCCGGGCAAACUCCUGGUCAAGCUCAGGACUUUGGGUGGGAGGUCUGUAGUAGACUCCCACCAUUUUUAUUCAUGUUGGACUAGAUGACCUAUGGAGGUCCCUUCCAAUUUGACUUAGAAUCAUAGACAAUGAGGGCUGGAAGGGACCUCAGGAGGUCACAUCUAGUCCAACCCCCUGCUCAAAGCAGGACCAGCCACAACUAGAUCAUCCCAGUCAGGACUUUGUUGAACCGGGCCUUAGAAAUGUCCAAGGAUGGAGAUUCCACCACUUCUCUAGGUAACUUUCCAGUGCUUCACCACUCUCCUAGUGAGAGAGUUUUUCCUAAUAUCCAACCAAAAUGUCCCUUGCUGCAACUUGAAACCAUUGCUCCUUGCUAUGAUCUUCAAAAAGACCUCAAGAUCCAGGUCUACAAGGCAGUCACUAUCCCCACUCUCCUCUACAGAUGUGAAAUGUGGGUGACCUACUGUGGUCAUUUCAAGAGCCUCUACCGCCUACCUAAAGACCAGUAGUUCUCAACUGGGAUACCAAGAGAUCCUUUUAAGGGAGCCAUGCCCAGUUCAAUGAGCAAGUGUCUACACACAAUUCCACAAGAUCAACCCCAAAAUUUCCAAUAGGAAUCCAGUGUCCAAACCCUGCUGCCUUGUCAUGGCUCUGUUGAGUUCUUUGUAUCAGAAGACUCUCUCUAGGAUUGUUCCAGAGUCAAGAAGCAACUGAAAGCCAAGAGUUGGCAUUUUCCAACAGAGAACUUUGAGCUAAAUGAGGGCAGGCGCACAUCUAACAAAGGGUAGGUUGAGUUUAAUGAGGUAGGGGAGCCUUGAGUCCAGCAAGGUUGAGAACCACUGGAGCCUUCUGCUCAGCGGUGAGGUAAUCUAGCAUUUCCCUGCAUCUGCUUGAGUUUGGGUGAGAGAGGAAGAGGCAAAGGUAAAGAGCAGGUGGGAGAAUGUCAGAGGUCUGUCAAGAUACCCCUCUAUAAAACUAUGGUGCAUCCACACCUUGAAUACUGUGCCCAGUUCCAGUCUCUGCAACUCCAGAAGGAGAUGGAAGAACUUGAGAAGAUCCAGAGAAGGGCAACAAAGAUGAUGAGUGUUAUGGAGAGGCUUCCAUAGGAGAAGAGAUUAAAGAGGCCAGGCCUCUUCUUGAAGGAAAUGGGCAUCACUAGAUAUGGAGGGGUGCAUGAGGGGUGCACAGCCUCUGAAUAAAAACAUCACAGACCUUCAAUGCUGGAGGCUGCAAGUGGGAGAGGAAUGGUGGGAAAAACCCUGGUUGGACCCAGGUCACUCUGCCUUCCAGCCUCCGCUGUGUGAAACACAAGACUGAGCAAGACAGACCUAUGGUCUGACCCAGUGAACAGCAGUUCUUAUGUUCUUGUGAAGUGAGAUGAGUUCAGAGGAAGGUGCGUCUGCUCAACCUUUCUCUACUCAUUAUGUACCAGCUUGAUCUGGUUUAGGACACAGCUCACAUGGAUGCACACUGACAAUUAAAAUAGAUGUUUUGGCUUGAUGGAGAGCCAGGGACACUGAGUAUCCAUGUAGACAGAGUUCACAUUAAUCUUCAUGAUGCAAUACCCCUUGGCACCUUGCUAGCUCUCCUAGACUAGCUUCACGAGCUGCUGAUGUUGAGUCAGGUGCAUGUAAAAGUCAGGGUUGAUCAAGCUGUGGGAUACAGUGGGGGCCAGGAGUCCUAGGUUUCAUCUGCUAGGAAAGCCCAGUCUUGUAUCCUCUGACCCAAGGGUCAAUGCAGCCAUGUGAGCUCUGUCCCUGAGGUCAAGGACCAAGAGGCAGAAAAUCUAGCCAAGCGUUUGGGCAGAAGACUCUGGCUCCCUCUACUCAAGAAUGUGCACAGCCUUGGGAAGCUGGUGAGACCCAACCAUGGACCAUGGGAGAGAAUGAGGAUCUAGCAGAUCGUGUCACCGAAGGGUUGGACUGGAUGUCCAAUGGAGACAUCAAUGUGAGAGAAGGGAAAAUGUCAGUCAAACAUGGAAAGUUGAGGACCAGAUGGGCUGAACACCAGCUGAGGGCAGAAGGGUGGGAGAGAUAAGCCAAUAGCACCUGCUACCCAUAUCGUCAGGGUGCUCUACCAUUGGCUCCAAGUAAUCGAUCCAUGGACCCUUCACAGGACACCCAGAUCCAUUGACACUGCUCCGUGCCUAUAAAUCUCCUCCACCCUCAGACCCAUCUGUGCCCCUGAGACCCAGCAGCCACAAGCAUCUUGCUUGUCCUUGGCCUCCUGUCUGCUCUCCUGGUUACAUGUAAAUUUCCUCCCCAUCCCAUCUGUGAUGCUUUCUCUGCCCAGAUUGGCCAGCUCUGGGCCAAGCCAUCAGGCAUUUAGAGUGGGAUGGGAUUUCACAAUGCUUUUUUUUUUGUCCAUUUGGCAAAAUUCCUGGGGUGUUGCACAAAGAUUUGUGGGGAGAAAGCUUGGAUGGGGGAAAGGUUCUCUAGAGUAGGAAGGAAGCUUGGCCAAGGAGAAACAGACGCCAUCCUGGAGACCCCCAGUGUGUGAGUUGGGUAACCAAGGAGCUGGCAUCUGUCACAACCCAAGGGUGUGAUUUUGUUUUUGUGUGUGCUUCGGCACCACUGAAUUAUGUUCCCGCCGUUUAGAGCUUUCUUUGCAGGGUGCAUUUCUCUGUUGCAGCACAGAAAUGCACGUUGCAAGGAGUUCCCGCCAUUUGUAUUCAAAUUCGAGCCCCACUAUUGGCUAGUGUUAAAUUAUUCCCACGUGGCGGCUAACGAUUGGCUUGUUAGCCGUAUAAGAGGCUUGGAUGGUUUCCGCCCAAGUCGGAGAACUUUGAGCACGCUGCAGAGUGCCUCUACGGAGUUUUGACCUGCGGCUGCUGAUCGAUAGACUGAUCACCUAUCGAUUCUUCUCCCCGUCGCCAAGCGCAAUCCUCGACAUAUCCCUCUUCCCUGCGCGCAAAAAGGAUCCACGGAGCCUCGACAACUCCGUGUGAGUGUGAGUUCUGUCCGAGUCCUCAAACGGGGAUUUAAGCGGAGUUUUACCUGGAAGUUCUCCAGCCUACACCACGAACAUCUACAGUGUAAGUAAACAAUCUUGAAUCAACCACUAAGCAUCUGUGCCUAAUUCUAGCGUGUCACCUGCUUUCUCCGACCCAGCGUGUCCGGGCUGCUGGCCACAGCCCGCGGCGCGAAAAAAGGGCCCCGAUCACUCCCGGCCCGCACAGCAUCCAUGAUAACAAUUGGCUGGAAUAUGAUGGAAGUGUCACAAGGAGGGCUCCAUAUGGGCAGAAUUUGAGCCAAUGUAGCAAGAUGAGCUGCUAGCACUUGCCUAGCACACCCUCAUGGAUUGCACCAGGAACAUGGGUAACCUUCCAGGGACACUCAGAUCCCAUCAGCACCAUUCCCUGCCCUUAAAUAUCCACUCCUCCCCAGACAGAUCUGUACCCUGAAGACCUGCAGCCAUGGGUAUCCUGCUCCUCUUCAGUCUCCUGUCUGCUCUCCUAGCUCCGGGGAACUCCCUCCAGUGUUAUGACUGCCUGUCCUUUUUGGGGCCCUGCGACGGCUCCCUGACCACCUGCGGCCCCUCAGAUGACACAUACGUGAAUGUCAUAACCAGCUACAAGUUACUUGGAAAAUCUGGGACCUUACGGGCCAAGUCUUGCCUGGAGGAGACAAGUCACCAGAUAAGACCCUUCGUUGCAACUUUCCAGCCAGACAGCAGCCUCCGCAUUAACUUUUCACCUACUGCAAUGAGGAUGGAUGCAACCACGGGGUACCCGAAGUGCCAACCUCGAAGUCAGAGCCCAAUGGUCGGAUGUGUCCAUCAUGCGUAGAGUUGGGAGGGAAGAAGUGUAAGAGCACCAAGAUGAUACCCUGUACCAGCGAUGAAGAUCAGUGUAUCGAGUUCACUGGGAUUCUAGUAGCUGGUAACGUUACGCUCCUCAAGUCUGCGUUUGGCUGUGGCUCUCCCGGGAUCUGUGAUAAGAGAUUUGGGGUGACCAAGUACAUCAAAAACACCUUUGAUAUCCUCACCGAUGUUGCCUGCUACCCAGCUCCCCAUCACACCUGACUGGGGACCCCGCCACUCUCCUGAGCCAGGAAGCCCCUUCCCGCCAGCCAUAAGUGGCUACAGUUUCUCUCACAGCAUGUUUCACAGCGGUGUUUCAUGGCACCACAUUGGCUGAAUAAAAGCAUGGAGCAAUC